AAGUUGAAAUUUACAUCAAGUAUAGAAUGAGAGCUGUACUAUGUGUUAAUUAUGGUGACUGAUUGUGGAAGAAGGAUUUACGCUGUCUUUGGCGGCGAAGUGGGGAAAGCCGCUGUCGUUGUCAUCUGUAAUAUUAUAUUGAGUUAAAAGCUGUGAAAGACGGAUUAGAUUUUAGAAAAUGAUGGUAAAACUGGUACCCUUCUUUUUUCGAGGCGCAGAUGUAGUCCUGGAUCUUUUGGACAUAUCAUCACAAGAAGCAGAAACAACAUCUCGUGUAUCUUGCAAUCCCAAAUUAUCGAGCUCAAGUGAUGAA